CCUACGGGAGGCAGCAGUGAGGAAUAUUGGUCAAUGGACGAGAGUCUGACCCAGCCAAGUAGCGUGAAGGAUGACUGCCCUAUGGGUUGUAAACUUCUUUUAUAUGGGAAUAAAAUGUUCCACGUGUGGGAUUUUGUAUGUACCAUAUGAAUAAGGAUCGGCUAACUCCGUGCCAGCAGCCGCGGUAAUACGGAGGAUCCGAGCGUUAUCCGGAUUUAUUGGGUUUAACGGGAGCGUAGGUGGAUUGUUAAGUCAGUUGUGAAAGUUUGCGGCUCAACCGUAAAAUUGCAGUUGAAACUGGCAGUCUUGAGUACAGUAGAGGUGGGCGGAAUUCGUGGUGUAGCAGUGAAAUGCUUAGAUAUCACGAAGAACUCCGAUGGCGAAGGCAGCUCACUGGACUGCAACUGACACUGAGGCGCGAAAGUGUGGGUAUCAAACAGGAUUAGAUACCCGGGUAGUC
rnacentral:rRNA from 1 species